rnacentral:lncRNA from 1 species
GGGCUCGUCGGGUUCGUCGGGUGUGUCGGUGACGCGCGGGACGGACGGGACGUGCGGGACGCAGCAGCGUGGCGUGUGUGUGUAUGGGCAGUGUAUGGCAAAGUGUGCGUGCGUGUGUGACGUGGUGGUGUGAGUUAGCUAGCUAGACGGGCGUGCAUGCAUGAAUUAGUUGCUGUGUAGUAGUCUGGCUGUUAGCAGCGGCGGCCGCGUCGUGCGCGAAGACCGAGUGGAUCGCCUGCAUGUAGUUGGGUAGCGUUCGUGCAUGCGUAGGAAGCGUAGGCGUUGCGUUGCUGCUGGGCUACAAAGCCAGCCGGUUUGUAUGUGUUUAAAAUGAGCUAGUGUAGUGAGAAGAAAAGAAAAGACGCCGGGGCAUUGAACGCCGGGGCGUUGGUCACUAGAAAGUGUUUCUUUCUUCUACCUCCAUCUAUCCGUGUGAGAGAGCGGCAACAACAAUUGAUAUACAGAGCUUCGGUUCGGGCGAUCACCGGCGACCAUGGCGCUCGUCCCACACGGCGGCGGAGCGGGCGGAUCGGCGACGAUGGCGAUGCCGAUGCUGACCGCGGACAACUACACGGUCUGGGCCAUCAAGGCGCAGGCGAUCCUUGACGUCCACACCGUAUGGGAGGCGGUGGCGCCAGGCGACGCGGCGGUGAACGCGCGGAAGGACAAGAUGGCGCGCGCGUUGCUUCUCGGGGCGUUGCUGGAGGAUGUGCUGCUGCAGGUGUCGACGAAGCUCACCGCCAGGGAGGUAUGGGACUCCCUGAAGGUGAGGUUCGUCGGUGCCGAUCGGGUCCGCGCGGCGAGGCUGGGGACGCUGCGCGGCGAAUUCGACCGGAUGAAGAUGGCGGACGGCGAGGAGCUUGAUGUGUACGGCGGGAGGCUCGCGGCGAUGGCGGCGAGGUAUGCCAACCUCGGGGAGACGCUGGGCGACGCAACACUUGUCAAGAAGUUGCUGGAUACGGUGCCGGAUCGCCUCUUCCCUGUCGUCGCCGGCAUCGAGCAGUUCCACGACGUGACGAUGAUGGCGUUCGACGAAGCGCUCGGGCGGCUGCGUGCGUUCGACGAGCGGGUUCGGCGCCGUGGACAAGACGGUGGCGAGUGCAGGGGUGAGCAGCUGCUCAUGACGGUGGCGCAGUGGGCAGCGCGGGAGCGUCGACACGGCGGUGCUCGGGACGACGACGACGGGUGCAGCGUGGCGUCCGGGAGCGGCGGCAACAGGCGCAGGCGCUGCUACAAGUGCGGGGAGCACGGGCACUUCCGGCGCGAGUGCCCGCAGCUGCGGAAAGGACCGGCGGCGGAGCAGGCUCUCUUGGCCGGUGCCAACGUCGACGACGACGGACUCCUCUAGGCCGUGGCUUAGGGGGAGUGUGUUGGAAUAAGCCACGGCGUGUGUGGUCGGGCUCGUCGGGCGCGCCGGGUGCGCGCGGGACGGGCGGGACAUACUGGUGCCGUCGGGCUCGUCAGGUUCGUCGGGCGUGUCGGUGACGCGCGGGACGGACUGGACGUGCGGGACGCAGCAGCGUGGCGUGUGUGUGUAUGGGCAGUGUAUGGCAAAGUGUGCGUGCGUGUGUGACGUGGUGGUGUGAGUUAGCUAGCUAGACGGGCGUGCAUGCAUGAAUUAGUUGCUGUGUAGUAGUCUGGCUGUUAGCAGCGGCGGCCGCGUCGUGCGCGAAGACCGAGUGGAUCGCCUGCAUGUAGUUGGGCACGUUCGUGCAUGCGUAGGAAGCGUAGGCGUUGCGUUGCUGCUGGGCUACAAAGCCAGCCGGUUUGUAUGUGUUUGAAAUGAGCUAGUGUAGUGAGAAGAAAAGAAAAGACGCCGGGGCAUUGAACGCCGGGGCGUUGGUCACUAGAAAGU